CAACCCCCGUUUAUGUCUCGCUUUCGAUCGAAUCAGCCCCAUUUGCAUACUUCAACUAACUGCAUAUCUCGCCAGGGGAGUCAGUAGUCGGGGUCCUUCUUCCUCUCUCUCUCUCUCUCUCUUCACGUUGAAACCAUUUUCUAGAGAGAGAAAGUUCGUUUCUCUCUCUCUCUCUCUCUCUUUUCCUCUUCUCUUCUCCCUACGACCCAAAAAAAAAAAAAACCCAAAAACCAAUAAAAAUCAAUGAGAGAGAAAGAGAGGAUUUGAAGAAUGGAGUUCGUCGGGAGAAGUGUGAGGAAAGAGUUGAAAGGCGUCGUCGGAACUGUGAAAUCCUACUCCGCCUCCUCCGGCUUCUUCCAGGUCCUCUUUGAAGACGGAAAUUCCGAACAAUUGGACUCGGCCCAGCUCUCUCUCCUCCUCCUCGCCGACCCCGCCCCGGCCCGAAAACCCAAGAAACGACGCCGUACAGGUAAUUCUGAUCCCAAUUACAGAGGGGAGGAUGAGCAUGCUAGCAGUAAUUCUAGUCCAGAAAAGGAGCAGGGGAUUGAUUUGAAUGCGGGCUUUAAUUUUAGCUUAAAUGAUGCUGCUGACCUGAAUGUUGGUGAGGAGAGAGAUUGUAUUGAUUUGAAUUUGGAUGCCAGCGGUUGUGAUUCUGUUGACAAUUUCGAUGGGCCUAGUUUGGGCCAAGGGACCAAGCGGAGGGGUUGCGAUUUCGAUUUGAAUUUGGAGGUUGCUGAGGAGGGGGACAGUGAAGACAAGUUUAAAAUUAGUCCCAAGUUUGAGAGGAUUGAAGAGAGUCGAAGCAGCGGAGACGCCCAAGGAAAUGUUGCUGAGGAUGGGAAUGUUAAUGAGACCCGGAAGCAAGUGUGUAUUGAUAUUAAUCAAGAAGUUCCCUUGAAUGGCAUUGAGUGUGCUGCUGUUGGGGAAGGACUCGGUAAUGAGAACCGGUGGUCCAGUGGAGAUAUGAAGGUCGAAUCUUCUCUUGGGGAUUUGAAUGCUAGUGCUGUUAAGGAUAACGGUAUGGUGGAAGAUGGUCCUUCUGAAGCUGCUACUCCAGUGACUCAUGGGCACCCAGGCGAUUCAGCAAGUCCAAGCAUUCAAAAAAGUAGCCGAAGGAAGAGAAGAAGGCUACCGGAUAAUUUGAUGUCUAAUUCUACAGAGACAGUUUUGAGGAGAAGUUCUCGCAGAGGAUCUGCUCGGAAUCAUGUUUCCGUUGCAUCAUCUGCCGUUAGUAAUCCUGUGUCCUCUUCUGCAGCUACUGCAGUAACAGAGGACGUACCGGUGAUUUCUGGCAGUGAAGAAGCCGAUCAGCCUAGUGUUGCCCCUCAGAAGCUCGGAUUACCUCCUUCGUCACAACGUUUGAAUUUAGAGGGCAUUCCCGUACUUGACCUUUUUUCUAUUUAUGCCUGUUUGAGAUCAUUUAGUACAAUAUUGUUUCUGAGUCCCUUCAAGUUGGAGGAUUUUGUGAGAGCACUGCAAUGCAACUCUCCUAGUUUGUUAUUUGAUUCUGUUCAUGUUUCUAUUUUGCAAACGCUAAGAAAGCAUUUGGAGUCCCUUUCAAAUGAAGGUUCCGAAUCUGCUUCUGAUUGUCUAAGGAGUCUUAAUUGGGAUUUCCUGGACUUAAUUACGUGGCCAGUUUUCAUGGUUGAGUACUUUCUGAUUCAUUGUUCAGGACUGAAACCUGGAUUUGACCUCGGUCACUUUAAGCUAUUAAAAAGUGACUACUACAGUCAGCCUGCUUCUCUAAAGGUUGAGAUUCUUCGCUGUCUAUGUGAUGAUUUGAUAGAAGGGGAAGCCAUAAAGUCGGAGAUUAAUAGAAGGUGUUCGACAUCUGAACAUGACAUGGGUUUUGAUCGUGAUGUAAACUUUGACGUCUGCAAGAAAAGGAAGGCUUCUGCGCAAAUUGCUGGUAGCUCCAGUUUGAAUGAUGAAAAUGUUGAUGAAACCCCUGACUGGAAUAGUGAUGAAUGUUGCCUCUGUAAGAUGGAAGGGAACUUAAUAUGCUGUGAUGGCUGUCCAGCAGCUUACCAUUCAAGAUGUGUGGGAGUUGUCAAUGAUCUUUUGCCGGAGGGUGAUUGGUAUUGCCCUGAAUGUAUGAUUGAUAGGCACAAACCUUGGAUGAAACUCCGCAAGUCACUGCGAGGUGCAGAGCUAUUAGGAAUUGAUCCUCAUGGUCGGCUAUAUUUUAAAAGCUGCGGCUACCUGUUGGUAUCUGGUUUUUGUGAUGAUGAAUCUGCAUUUAAUUACUAUCACAGAGAUGAUCUAAACAAGAUUAUUGAAGUGUUAAGGUCUUCAGAAUUUUCCUAUGGUGGGAUAUUAUUGGGAAUCUAUAAGCACUGGGACAUUCCUACUACCUUUAAUGGAGCAAUUAGUAGCAAGCCCCUGGACCAAUUGGAAUUUUCAGAAACAGGUGAUGCUAAAAAUGAGACGCAUGAGGAUAGAAAACUGCAAGAGAAGUUUUGUAAUCUCGUUUCUGAUGUUUCAAAUUCUGUUCAAGUGCUGAGAAGGACUGUCAUUCAGGAUGAUUCAAAUAAUCUUGCUGAUAUUUCAAAUCAAUCAGAUUUGGUCAGAAAACUGCCUGAAGACUGUUCUUUGACAUCUACUUGCUUAGAUGUCAGACAAGAGAGCAACGGUUCUAUUGAUCUUGGAAAAAUUUCAUCUGCUAUAACCACUAGAAAAGAGGGCACUUCAGAAGUGGAUUGUGGAAUUGAUUACAUGAACUACUACAGUUUUGGCCAAAUUGCUUCAUCUGUUGCAGAGGAGUUGUCUAAAUCAUCAGAAAAGAAUAAGGAAGGUGCACUAAAUACAGUAGAUGAAAUAAUAUCUGCGCAGAUGAAGACCAUUAUAAAAAAAUCUUCCAAGUUUUCCUGGCCAAAUAUUGAGAACUUAAAUAUAGAUGUGCAGAAAGAGAAAUGUGGGUGGUGCUUUUCUUGCAAAUAUCCUGCUGAUGAUAGGGAUUGCUUGCUUAUCAUGAGUAAGCUGCCUUUACAGGAUGUUUCCAAGACUGAUGUAGUUGGACUUCAAUUGAAAAAUAUUCCCAAAGAUCAUCUUAAUGAUGUCAGCUGUCAAAUUUUGUCCAUUCAUGAUCGCCUGCUUGGGCUUCUGUUGGGUCCGUGGUUGAACCCCCAUCAUACAGAAUACUGGCGGAAUAGUCUUCUUAAUGCAUGCGAUCUUGCCUCUGUUAAGCAUUUACUGCUCCUUCUAGUGGAAAAUUUGCAUCAUCGUGCAUUGUCCGCAGAUUGGUUGAAACAUGUGGACUCUGUUGUUACCAUGGGUUCAGCUUCUCAUGUUGUGACUUCAUUACGUGCAUACUCAAAGAACAUGAACAGCAGAAAGAGGCCCAAGUUUUCUGAUAUUGAUUCAAAUCCAUCUUCAAAUGCCGGCAGUGGAUUGGGAAUGUUUUGGUGGAGGGGUGGCAGGCUUUCUCGUCAGGUGUUUGGUUGGAAGAUUUUGCCUCGCUCCUUGACUUCUAAGGCUGCCAGACAAGGUGGGUGCACAAAAAUAAUGGGAAUAUUGUAUCCUGAGAAUUCAGAAUAUGCAAAGAGAAGCAAAUAUAUUGCCUGGCGAGCUACUGUUGAGAUGUCGACUAGUGCAGAACAGCUUGCUUUGCAGGUUAGGGAGCUUUAUUCAAACAUUAGGUGGGAUGAUAUUGAGAACACACACCCGCUGCCUACAUUGGACAAGGAAUCUACAAAAUCAAUCAAGCUUUUCAGGAAAGUUAUUGUCCGCAGGAAGUGCUCAGAAAAGGGAGUGGUUAAGUAUCUUCUUGAUUUUGGCAAGAGAAGAGCAAUCCCCGACAUUGUCAGGAAACAUGGUUCUGUGCUUGAAGAACCAUCUAAUGAGAGGAAAAAGUAUUGGCUUGAAGAAUCAUAUCUUCCUCUGCAUCUUUUGAAAAAUUUUGAGGAGAGAAGAAUUGCCCGCAAGUCUAGUGAUGGGAAGUCUGGUAAAGUUCUUGCAGUUGGUAGAGUAAUGCGGCCCCCGGAUGAAAAGGGAUUUGCUUAUUUGUUUUCCAAAGCAGAAAGAUCAGAGUAUUAUAAGUGUGGACACUGCCACAAAGAUGUCCUGAUAAGGGAAGCUGUGAGUUGUCAAUUGUGCAGAGGAUUUUUCCACAAAAGGCAUGCGAAGAAGUCUGCUGGGGCCAUUGUUUCCGAGUGUACGUAUACAUGCCACCGAUGCCAGAAUGGGGUCUCUGCGAAGAUUGAUACAAAAAGAGGGAAAGCUGAUAAAAAGAGAGGAAAAGUUGGUAUGAAAAGAGGGAAAGUUGAAACAAAAAUAGAGAAAGUACAGUCACAGAAAUGUAAAAAUUCUCAAACUGAUCGUAGAUCACUGCGUUUGAGAAGCAAAAGAAAAGCUUUAGCUGGAGGAAGACAGGUACAAUUGAAAAAUAGCAAAAAGGUUCCUGUAAGUGUACCUUUACGCCGCUCUCCAAGGAAAGCUAAAUGCUUGACGUUGCAAAAUAAAAAGCAUAGCAAACGCAAGAAAGGGAAACAAAGCAAAUCCAAGAAGCGGACGUAUAAGAAACCAAAGACAGGGACCUUGUGUCAGAAGAAGAGAACACAAGUUUAUCGCAGUUACUGGCUAAAUGGUCUGCAGUUGUCUAGAAAGCCAAAUGAUAAACGUGUUAUGCUUUUUAGGGAGAAAAAACUACUUGCUCACUGUGGCUGUUCUUCUAUCGUUCUCGGUCAACUCAAAUGCCAGCUCUGUUGUGAAGCAGAAUAUGCAUCUACUUUAGAUUAUAUCGGGUGUGAACUAUGUGGAGAGUGGUUUCAUGGGGAGGCUUUUGGGCUGGAUUCAGAGAACAUUGAUAAGCUCAUUGGAUUCAGGUGCCAUGUGUGUCGUAAAACAGAACCUCCUGUCUGCCCCCAUCUGGUAGUUGUGAAAACUGAUGUGUCCCAAUUGGCUGAAGCUCAAACUGAUGGUUCUGUUGAUUGUUCAGAGGAAGUACCUAAUGCAGUCCCGACUUUGAGUGAGAUUACAUGCAAAUGAGUUAAUUUGGCAUUGCAAGAUGGGUUCUUCAUUGGGUAUGCGAUCCGAUUCAUGUGAUCGUAGAUGGAGGGAUUCUUAUUGGUGGGGGCACUUGCAUAAUUUUGAAAGGAUUGGGUUUCACAUUUCUUCCAAUCAAGAUUUUUGACAAGGAGAGAGCGUUUUGAUUAGGAGAAGUGGAAGGUCAGAAGGUACAUCCAUGCAAUGAAGAAAUUUGUGGCGAUGAGGCUAUAUAUCAAGAACCAUCAUUAUGAGCAAAUGAAUUGACAGAACAGGCCAAAUUGGUUAAAUUGGAAACUCCUCAGAAUGGGUUCCAGGGAGGGACUUUUUAUAGAGUUGCCUGACAACAUUUGAUUCGGUUGUAGAAGAUCCAGUUUUUUUUUUUUUUUUUUUCAAUCCUGGUCUGAUCGAUAUUAGUUCAUUUAGCUGUUGUUAAUAUUAUAAUUCUUGCAAUUAAAUCUGAGUAGGGUAGAGAUGGAAAAUAGUUCUGUUUUAGGAGAUGGGUAGGCAUUUUAGACGAUAUACAAUUUUUUCUCAGUCAAAGUAGAUGGACGAUAGUAGCAGUUAGAUAUUAGGUUGCCAUGGUGUUUCGUUUUAGGAUGGGGUAGACAAUAGACAUGUUAGAUGAUUUGCAUUUUUUUCUCUAAGUCGUGGUAGACAAUGUGAUCACUGAACUUGGCCAUGGUGUUCCUAAUGUUGCCAUCUAAUUGGCUCCCCCUUUCUGUGUCCCAAGCGUUCCAUUUGGAUCAGCUGGGAGGGGGUUGUUGUUGUGGUUUUGCAUUGUAGACUUUCUUUUCAUUAAAAAAAAAAGUAAAUGGACAAUAGUAGUAGUUAGAUCUUAGAUUCUUAAAUGAAGUCGCAAGGCUUCUCAAGUCUGUUAAGAUUUGUAUUGAUUUUAGUGGUAUGUUCUAGGAUCUGGGAAUUCAGCUUCGACUUAUUUUACUGACAGAAGGUUGCAUACA